UUUUGAUCAGACAGAUAAACAACAGUUGACCAGAAAUGCUCACUUGUACCUUCGGAUCGGAUAACUCAGAAAACAAUGAAACUGAAAAGAUUUUACUAGCGGCAUUACUUCCCAUUGCAUGGUUCUUGUUUGUGCUCUUCCUCGAUGUUUUAUAAGGAGAAAGUGGUAUAAAAAGAUUUGCUGCCGAAGAAGACCCAUCAUCGACUCGAAACAGGACAAAAACCUACCUGUAUCAGAUUUACCAAUUUAUGCAGUAAGUGAAAAUGACAUCGUCAUUCCAGUAGAUACACAUCACAUCAACGACUGCAGAUUGUAAGAGGAAUUGUAGUUUCGACCUGAAAUAUAAACUGUUGAUUUUCCAAUUCUAUUGUGUCCAAAAAUAAAUGUCAGAGUCCAGUUUGAAAACUACAUGUACUUCCCAAAACCAGUUAAUACUAUUAUAACAUGAAAGUUGAAAUGUGGC